rnacentral:sRNA from 1 species
CUUGAAGUGGGGGCCUGAGUGCGGCUACACU